UACAGAGGGUGCGAGCGUUGUCCGGAAUCACUGGGCGUAAAGGGCGCGUAGGCGGCUUGAUAAGCGUGCGGUGAAAGCCCGGGGCUCAACCCCGGGUCGGCCGUGCGAACUGUCGAGCUGGAGCACUGUAGAGGCAGGUGGAAUUCCGGGUGUAGCGGUGGAAUGCGUAGAGAUCCGGAAGAACACCGGUGGCGAAGGCGGCUCUCUGGGACGGUACUGACGCUGAGACGCGAAAAGCGUGGGGAGCGAACAGGG
rnacentral:rRNA from 1 species